rnacentral:rRNA from 1 species
UGUCUCGGUUAUACAAUUUGAAUUUAACUUUUAAGUGAAAAGGCUUAAAUAAUCUAAGGGGACGAUAAGACCCUAUAAAGCUUUACAAUAAAUUAAAUAUAUUAAAAUCUGUUAGUGUAACUUACUAUAUUUAGAGUUUGUUUCGUUGGGGCGACGAGAAUAUAAUGAAUAACUGUUCUUUUUAAAAAUAAACAAUAAUAAUUGGUUAAAGAUUGAUCCUUUAUUAAAGAUUAAAAGAUUAAGUUACUUUAGGGAUAACAGCGUAAUCUUCUUCAAGAGUUCAGAUCGACAAGAAGGGUU